rnacentral:rRNA from 1 species
UACGGAGGGGACUAGCGUUGUUCGGAAUUACUGGGCGUAAAGCGCACGUAGGCGGAUUUGUAAGUCAGGGGUGAAAUCCCGAGGCUCAACCUCGGAACUGCCUUUGAUACUGCAAAUCUCGAGUCCGGAAGAGGUGAGUGGAAUUCCUAGUGUAGAGGUGAAAUUCGUAGAUAUUAGGAAGAACACCCGUGGCGAAGGCGGCUCUCUGGGACGGUACUGACGCUGAGACGCGAAAGCGUGGGGAGCGAACAGG